AGGGAGUACAGCAUGGAUGUGGGAGAACGGAGUCACCUCUGGGCCUUGGACAGGGUUCCAUUAAGACAUCUCCAACCUUGGAUCUCCUGAGCU
rnacentral:lncRNA from 1 species